rnacentral:miRNA from 1 species
GGUGGGAGGUGGGGUGGGCA